rnacentral:rRNA from 1 species
CGGAUUCUGGCUCAGGAUGAACGCUAGCUACAGGCUUAACACAUGCAAGUCGAGGGGCAGCAUUGGGAUAGCUUGCUAUUCAGAUGGCGACCGGCGCACGGGUGAGUAACGCGUAUCCAACCUUCCUGCCAGUAGGGAACAGCCCGGCGAAAGUCGGAUUAAUGCCCUAUGUUCUUCAAUGCGGACAUCUAAGUUGAGGGAAAGAUUCAUCGCUGGCAGAUGGGGAUGCGUCCGAUUAGCUUGCCGGCGGGGUAACGGCCCACCGGGGCGACGAUCGGUAGGGGUUCUGAGAGGAAGGUCCCCCACACUGGUACUGAGACACGGACCAGACUCCUACGGGAGGCAGCAGUGAGGAAUAUUGGUCAAUGGGCGUAAGCCUGAACCAGCCAAGUAGCGUGCAGGAAUGACGGCCCUACGGGUUGUAAACUGCUUUUAUGCGGGGAUAAAGUGCGGCACGUGUGCCGCUUUGCAGGUACCGCAUGAAUAAGGACCGGCUAAUUCCGUGCCAGCAGCCGC